GUCCCCCCUCCGCGCACGCCCCGCCCUCCCUCCGCCUCUUCCCCCCGCCCACCGCCGAAAGCCGAGACGGGCCCAUUGACGUCACUUUGACGCCAGAGCGACGCGCGCCCAGGCGCGAGGCUGAAGGAGAGCGAGACACCGGGCCGUUGCCAAGGAACGGGCUGCGCUGACGCGCGCGCUGAUGGAGCCGUCGCCCGGGAGACGGAGGGACGGUGACGUCAGGGCAGAGGGAGGGAGGAGGCACCAGGGUCCCCUGCACCCCCCCCCGCCCGAAGUGGGGGGCGCGGCUCUCCGGGGUCACGUGAUGCGUCUCGUAUGGCGGCGGGUCGCCCCCUGCCGGCGCGCGCGCCGUCCGCCUUAACCGCCGGGGCCGCCGGCCGUUAACCCCCGUGUGGCCGCCAUGCCGCACCGCGGGGCGCCUUUCCCCAGUCCCAACGCACAGCUCGGCAUGCGGCCGCCCACGGCAGCGCCCGUGCGGGGCCAGGGAGCCGCCUCGCCCUCGCAGGGGCUCCCGCUGCCCCUGGUUGCUGCGGAGGAUGGAGGGGCUGCUGCUCACGGCCAGGGACUGGGGGCAGCAGCCCGGCUGUGGGGCUCAGAUGCAAAGGGAAGUGAUAGUAGAGCAGAAGAGUCUAUAUGCACACAGCCCUAUGCUUCUGUGUUUCGCACCUGCGAUGCGAUUCUCUCCGGGCAGUCCGGAAGGGAGGCUUGGGGAGAUCGCCCACCUGCACACAGAGGCUGGAGCAGGCUGGUUGGUAUCCAACCUCACCGUCCUAGAAGGGCCCUGGAGGUUCAUCUCAAGGCCCCCUGUCAAAUGUAAAGUGGGAGACGCACUAGGAUCAAGCAUUUAGGGGUUCAGAGUUGACACAGCAAGUGGCCGAGAUGUUUGUAAAUUUGGUCUCAAAUUCCAGGUUAGCCUUGAAAAUACAUCUUGAAUGCAGUCACCCAGGCUGGCACAUCUGUUAUUCAACUUAAUCCUCUCUAUUAGAGUCAUCCUAGACUUCCUGUCUGACAAGUAAUUACCCAGUCAGCGGAUGGGCUCCCGACCAUUUCAGGAGGCUGAACACCUAACCUGGCAAGUCUGUCAAACACUGGCCAGUUACCCUCACCUUCCCUCCAGAGGAACCAUGCUACCCCAGACAAAUUGGAUUUGCCAGGCUCCUUGAAAUAAGCUGAUGCCUUGGGUGGAAGAUCUACAGCUCUGUGUUUCAUGCUGAAGGUCUCAAGCAACUGAGACAAUUGUUUAACCGGUGGCUGAUAGUCUCCUUAGGGUCCAUGAAUGACUUCUCUAAAGGGCUCAAGAGGGACUCCUCAUAUAAGGAAAGCAAGCUGAUCAUCAGUCAGUGUAAAUUUACUCUACAAAGACAUCUGUGAUGAGAAAAAUGUAGUGGCCUAUAUAAAUCAAAUUACGUGAUAUGUGAGCUCUGUGUCAUCAAUGCAUUUGAGAGCGAUCCAUCAAGAUGUCCCAGGGAAGCAAACAAGACUUUCUCUGCUUCUCUUAACUAAUGAAUUAUAUUGCUUUUGCUACCCUCAGUAGCUUGGGUGCUGGCCCUUUGGAAGGUCGGUUACGUUGCAGGCUCUUUCUCCUAGAAGCAGUAGAUAGGGAAAUACCACCUGAAGCCUCAGGCCUGAAAUUAAACUCCCAAGCACUAUUUAGCUUGUCGAGUGUAUACAAUUCAUGCAGGCAUGGUACACUGUCCCCAUGCUCUUUUAUGGUGACCGGGCAGACUGGAAAUUUGCAGGCCUUGAAAUGCUGGUGGGAAGGAGGCUGGAGAUCUUGUGGCACAGGGAGUCUCUUACAUGGAGGCACUGGUAUGACCUAGGUCAUGGGACUGCUAUGCCAUCCUCUGUAAGGGGGGUAAUAUUAUAUGGCAAAUGCAGGCUAUUGCAACUGUAACAUUCAAUUAGUGCUUACACAGUGCUUUGAGUAACACACAUGAAAAGCUGACAUUAUUAUUAUUGUUAUUAUUAAGCUAACAGUCUGUUCUCCACAGAGCUCAUGAAGAGAAGGUGACGCACAAACAGCAUAUACAGUAGCAACUGCAUGUGAACAUUGCCCCAGGAGUUAUAAAGAAAAAGAUUACCUUAGUAAUGGUUCCUUUGCUGCAGUGGGAUUUUCCUCCCCUUAAUUAUAGCUGCUGUUUUCAUUUGAAAUUGAUUAAGUGUUUUAGGAUGGCAAACAGAACUGAUCUUUUCAAAAAGAAUGCUUGAGACAAACAGCCCCAGCCAGAAAAGUAACAUUUUUAUUUCUUUUUAAAGGAUUCAUGAUUUCUUUCUUCCAAAAUGGGAAGCAGUGGGCUGGAUUUGGUGCUGUCUUAAAUCCUGAUUUUUCCAUCUAAGGAGAGGCUGAUACCUGUGCCAUGGGACUGCCUGGAGAACGGCUGCAGACAGAGGCUGAGAAGGAGACAGGGGGUCCAUGUCUGAAGAUGCUAGGAAUCAGGGGAGCUGGAAACAGCAGGCGGUAGGAAGCAGCAGAGAAGUAGUGUUGGAAAUUGCCUGCAUGGUGAGGGAAGGAAAUCCCUUGACACAUCUGCAAGAAGACUGGCUCUGUGAAAAAGCCUUGCUAGGGCAGGGAAGAGCUACAGAGGCUGCCAUACGUGGGCCCAGAGCUGUGCAACAGGAGUCUGGAGGCUUUGUCUCCCCAUCCUCCACCGAGGUGGCUUCACAGCCCCAGGACACCCCUGACCUGAAGCAUGGCUCUCGAUGGGAACUUCAUAUUCAAACUCUGAAUAAGGAUGUGAAGAUGACAUGGAAGGCCAGAUCCACUUGUGCCCGCUUCUCCUUGCCUUGCCCAGGAUCUUUUCUCUUUGGGAUCCCUACAAACUGGUAAGGGCAAUUCUGCAGCCCUAUUAGAAGUGGUGGGAUACCAGCACCCAUUCAAGAAAUUUGGGAAUCCUUCUAUGGGCAGUCCAGAGGACUGAAGGGAAUCUGACGGUUGCACUUGGCUUUACAGCUGCUAGGGUUUCCAUGAGGUUUUCCCACUUGGGCAAGGUCUGACAGUUUUUCCCAAGCCAGUGCAGAUACCCUUAUUCGGGCCAGAUGUCUGCCCCCUAUGCUUGGUUAGAGGGACAAUCUGUGAGGGUAGGAAGGUAAUUCAGCCUCAUUUGUUUUGGCCUGACCUUCAGCAGGUUGCUACUGCUUUUUACAGAAGCAGCAUGGGAUGCAGAGGUGCCCUUGUGGUGCAGCUGUGGGUGAUGUGGACACGUGCCCAAAAGGAAGUAGACUGAGACAAUGGAAUUCAUUGCACAUGUAUGUUGUUUAUAGCCACCGAUGUUUGCUGAUCACUAUGCUGGAAACAGUGACCCAAAUGUGACAGAUUUUACAUCCCUUUGCUCAAGCCUCUACUCCACUCCCCUUGUUUCUGUGUGAUUCACGCAGAUACAUACACAUCCUUCCCCAGAGACAAAAUGAAUAAGGGCCCCCCCUCACCUUUUUUCCUUAUUAAUGCAUUUGCGUCUGUGAUCUGUCAUGUUUUCACUGCAGUUUGAAAUGGAAAGGCUAUUGCUUUCCUGAUGUCCCAAGUAAUUGCUUAAUCUGCUUGUGCCUGUCUGUACCUCUGGCAGGCAGGGAGUAUGCGCUGACUUUUUUGAAGAGGGUAUUAACAGCAUUUGUCUACUGCAUACCAAACAAAAAUCAGGAGCUUCUCCCUUCCCCCCUCCCUGUCUUGUCUUUGCUCACUCUGAAAGAAAACAGAAACAAAAUAAAAGUCAUAUUUGCA